rnacentral:lncRNA from 10 species
GUCCCAGAGGUUGUCCUGGCUGGCACUGGCCUAGGUGUAGAUGUCAUCAGCUCAGGGCCCCCUGCUCUAAAGGCCACGGAGGGGCCCCUGGCUCCCAUUUCUGGUCCCUGGAUCCUGAGAGCGAGGACUAGGGAUUGUCACCAAGGCCUCCAUGAGCCCUCAGCAGAAGGAGGGCCACCCUCGAGGGCUCCGUUAUCACUGGAGCCCGCGUUCAACCAACACGCAGAUGAUUCUCCAAGGACAGAGAUGGAUGAUGGGGAGGGGGCUGGCCUGGAAGGACCCCCAGUGCAGGUGACAUUGAAGCCAGGUUUCAAAGCUCCCACAGGGAGCUGCCCAGAGAGAGUCCCCAAGGGGCAAGGUGACUCGGGGGCAGGGGUAGGGCCUCUGUCAGGAGAGCCUAGGAGAGGCCUGUGUCUUCUAGGAAGAGCCCUGGCAGCCGAGCGGAGGCAGUGGUGAGGACCUGCAUCCUGCAUGUCCAGCUGGCCUCACCCGGGGUCCCUGAGCCGGGUCUUACGUGGCUCCCGCACUCGGGCGUUCAGAACGUGCCUGCGUGAGAAACGGUAGUUUCUUUAUUAGACGCGGAUGCAAACUCGCCAAACUUGUGGACAAAAAUGUGGACAAGAAGUCACACGCUCACUCCUGUACGCGAUUGCCGGCAGGGGUGGGGGAAGGGAUGGGGAGGCUUUGGUUGUGUCUGCAGCAGUUGGGAAUGUGGGGCACCCGAGCUCCCACUGCAGAGGCGACUGUGGAGACAGAGAGCACCUGCAGGUCAUCCAUGC